AAGGCUUUAGCUUAAUUAAAGUGUCUGUUUUGCAUACAGAAGAUGUAGGUUAGUGUCCUGCAAGUCUUA
rnacentral:tRNA from 1 species